CUCCCACCAAGCCUAUAAGCAUAGGGGUCCCAAAGGCUCCCCCGCCCCGGCUGCCAGCCCAGCCGCCCCAGGCAGGAGGAGAGCUGCCUGCAGGGCCGAGUGGAGCCCGCUCCGCCGCGGGCAAGCCCGCCACACUCACUGCCCGCCGCCUUCCGCGGUGCCGCUCCCGAGCUGCGUGCGCUCCGCCGCCGCUGCCGCUCCCCGAGCAGCCGGGUCCCCCGCGCCCCGGCCCGCCCGCCUGUCUGGCAGCAGGCGCGGACAGAUUUCCACUGGGGAUUUCCUGCCACUCUUAGACAAAGGUGGUCAUCACAUGUGACUGCAGUGGGUCGCCACUCCCGCUUAUGUCCAGGUGAUUAGUCACAGCUCUUCCUGUCAGUUCCUCAUGCCUCAGCACUGCCUCUUUGCCACUGGCUGGCUUGGGAGCGGUAAGAGAAACCAUAGCUCAUAUCCAGUGUCACUAGACGACUUUUUUUUCCAAACCCACCACUUAUUUCAAGCCUCCUAUUGUCCCUGGCAUCAUAAGUUCUGAUUCUAGAAGAAACUGCAGAGGAAGCGAUAACAUAUUGGUGGGUCAUGUGUCUUGUGUCUGCAAUGCUGAGGAGCUGAUGUCAUGUUUAUUAGAAGCCAAGAUCAGAGUUCACAGGCUCAGGAAACGUCUGCAGAGUUUAGGAAUGAUAUGGGAGCAGCUGCAGCAGUGCACUGAUGCCUGGGCCAAUGUGGGAGGACCUCAGCCACGAAGGACCUGUCACAGUGCGGUGGGAGGAACUGGGGAUUGUGUGCAAAUUCACUGCGCGUAAAGGCCAUUAGUAGUGUUUGUACAUAAGUAUCCAAUAGCUCAUAUUGUAAAUAUUAAGCAAUUUAUUUAUUAGAGCUUUAAUGCCUAAUUAUUGUUCAUACUUCUUCUUUAACCUAUGUCACACCUGAGAGGAUAUCAGUUUGUGCACCUCAUAGGCACCCAGGUGACUAUCUCUGUACCACCCGUGCUCCUUUUGUGUACUGUAUAUA
rnacentral:lncRNA from 1 species